AAACCGCCGCCAGCAAUCAGCCUAAGGUCGCGAGUUCGCUUUUGAAACCUUAAACUGUCGUAAGGAAUGCCAGAACCAGGGGCAGAGCGCCAUACCCCCGUGCCACCGGAAUUCGCGGGAUUUCCAGCCCGGAAACCAGGGUUUUGAGGGCUUCGAGGGCUUCCGGCGGCGGCAGGCGCUCGGCGUCGGCGGCGUCGAGGUCCACCACCAGCCCCACGGGCGCUUCGGCGGCAAAGCCGAUGGUCCUGAUUC
rnacentral:misc_RNA from 1 species